rnacentral:rRNA from 1 species
GGAAAACUUACCAGGUCCGGACAUAGUGAGGAUUGACGGCUUAAUUUGACUCAACGCGGGAAAUCUCAUCAGGCCCGGACACUGGAAGGAUUGACAGAUUGAUACCUCUUUCUUGAUUCUGUGGGUGGUGGUGCAUGGCCGUUCUUAGUUGGUGGAGUGAUUUGUCUGGUUAAUUCCGAUAACGAACGAGACUCUGUCCUGCUAAAUAGAGUCUGCUUCUCUUUUGAGCAGACAAUUCUUCUUAGAGGGACAGGCGACUCUUGAGCAAUAA